UAAUCUUUUGCCACCGAUUGAUAAUUGAGG
rnacentral:piRNA from 1 species